rnacentral:rRNA from 1 species
GAUGAACGCUGGCGGCGUGCCUAAUACAUGCAAGUCGAGCGAACAGACGAGGAGCUUGCUCCUCUGACGUUAGCGGCGGACGGGUGAGUAACACGUGGAUAACCUACCUAUAAGACUGGGAUAACUUCGGGAAACCGGAGCUAAUACCGGAUAAUAUAUUGAACCGCAUGGUUCAAUAGUGAAAGACGGUUUUGCUGUUACUUAUAGAUGGAUUCGCGCCGCAUUAGCUAGUUGGUAAGGUAACGGCUUACCAAGGCAACGAUGCGUAGCCGACCUGAGAGGGUGAUCGGCCACACUGGAACUGAGACACGGUCCAGACUCCUACGGGAGGCAGCAGUAGGGAAUCUUCCGCAAUGGGCGAAAGCCUGACGGAGCAACGCCGCGUGAGUGAUGAAGGUCUUCGGAUCGUAAAACUCUGUUAUUAGGGAAGAACAAAUGUGUAAGUAACUAUGCACGUCUUGACGGUACCUAAUCAGAAAGCCACGGCUAACUACGUG